rnacentral:rRNA from 1 species
CAGUAGCGUAUAUUAAAGUUGUUGCAGUUAAAAAGCUCGUAGUUGGAUUUGUGGCUGUCACGGGCGGCCUAUCACUUAGUGUUAGUGCUUGCCUGUGUCGCCAUCCUUGGGUGGAGCCCGUGUGGCAUUAGGUUGUCGUGCGGGGGAUGCCCAUCGUUUACUGUGAGAAAAUUAGAGUGUUCAAAGCAGGCUUAUGCCAUUGAAUAUGUUAGCAUGGAAUAAUAAGAUAGGACCUCGGUACUAUUUUGUUGGUUUGCGCACCGAGGUAAUGAUUAAUAGGGACAGUUGGGGGUAUUCGUAUUUCAUUGUCAGAGGUGAAAUUCUUGGAUUUCUGAAAGACGAACUACUGCGAAAGCAUUUACCAAGGAUGUUUUCAUUAA